GGGUCAGGUUUUUUAAAAAAAAAAAUUCAAACGCUUUUCCGCUGUAUUUCAAACAAAAAGGGGACCCCGGGGCGUGACAAGAAGGCUUGUUGGAGGGUGGAGUUAGCACUUGUGCAACAAGUGGAGGAAGAAGCUAGAACUCAAGCCCUAAUUGACGAGUAAUCUGACGCAUUGGAAAAUUCGGAUCGAGAUUCCAGCGAGUCUACGCCAAGAUAUUAAGAAAAAACCCCAUUUGGACUUCUUAAUUUUGCCGUGGUCGAGGGGAAUAGGCGAUCAUAAAUCACAAGACUUGAAUCAUAGCCUUUUGGCAUCCCUAUGAGGUUCAAGCGAGGCGAUCGAGGACCGUGGCAAGGGUAUCGCACCCUAGCUAAUGACUACCCGAGUAUAGAACAUACCUUGUCGUUAUCAUCUUUUGUUUAUGAUGAGCUAAUGUAUAAAUGAUGUAAAAAGGGUAUGUGAUGUAUCUUUUGGAUGAUGUAUAAAUGAAAGAAAGAAUGUAAAUUUUAAUAUGCAUUUAUGUGAUUGAAUGUAAUCAUAGUACUUGCGUGGA